CAAAUAUCUGUUCAGUCCAUUGGUGUGGAUGACCUGGAUGAUGAGGAUGAUGACGGGGGGACCACCUUGGGAAGAAGGGGAGUAAUGCAUACACGCUCCUCAACUCUUCCUCAAUGAAAUGGUUGACAAAGACCAUGACCCCAUGGCUAGUACAAGAGGCCCACCAUUGCUGAUCGGAAGAUGAAUAUCGUGCCCGUCGCAUCAUGCAGGUCAUAUCCCUGGCGAAUGGAUCCGUUCGCUGGCCAGUGAGUGGUGGCGCACCUUGCCACUCUGGCUUUGUAAAAUACUCAUGUUAGGUUGAUGAAGGCUAUGGCCUGUCAUCUCUUGAGUGUGUUGCUUUCUCAUGUGGCUGUGUGCAGUGCUUGGUCAGCUGUCAAAAACCACACGCACUCUCAAACUGGUUAUUGUAGCCUAAUACUUUAGAUUUUAAAUUAGAUUUUGAUGAGAUACUGAGGCUGGCCUUGCAUUGGUGUAUGUCUGGAUGUAUGAAUGCACAUUUUGUAUUUCAUAUGGAGAAACAAAAAUUUACUUAAAUUCUGAGAUGUUUUCAUUAGUGUUAUUUUUUUACAUAUCUAGUAUCAACUUUGAUACAUGUUACUGUAAAAGGUCAUUAUAAGAAAUGGGGCCAAUAAUGGUAUAAGAGUACAGUAUCAGGAAGACCACAAAGGCCCAUCCACUACUGCUCGGGACCACCGGCCAGGAAUCACCACCUCUACUAAUUUACAAUCUGUUUUCUUCCCCCUGCAGUGUACCUACCUGCUGCCUCCUGUGAAGUUUCAUCCAGAGUCAUGAUCAUGAGCCUCUCAAACUCAUUAGUUACAGGAGUACAUUUCAUAGGAUCUAGUUUUAGGUUGUACUGAUAAGGUCAAUAUUAACUUAGGAUUAUGGUGAUGUUUUAAACUUGAACAUUUGGAAUUGUUACAACUCUACUUCAAAUUUAUCAAACACUUAACUCUAAUACAGUACUUAUCUUAAUUUUUAAAGGGUUAGCAAAGUCUUUAGCUGGCAGUAUUGUUGCCAUUACAGUAUCUUGAAAACAAAACUGUCCAAGUAUCUCUAUAUACUGUACUUUUGUAUGGUGACUUGUGUAUGCAUGUAUGCUUUUCAUUCACUCAUAAAUAAUAGUUGACAUAAACAUAUUAAUUAGUAGUUUUCAGAAAGAUUGUCAGUAUAUGAUAUGUGAGUUCAUUAGAAAAUAAGCUUAUAAAUUCGAUAUUGAAAUUUUAAAAGAUGUUAGUUUUAUUGGAGCGUAGUGACCAACGAUUAAUAUCCUGGUUGUUGACAAGCUGAAUGAAUAAACUACAGCUAAGAAAAAUAGUAUCGCUGAGAACUACAUUUAAAGGUGCAGAGAGUUAGGCCUUGAUAGAUUUAUUAGGUGAAGUUGUCUAGCUUCCAUAACAAGGUUCACUGUUGGCAUCACCUGAAGGCCUCACCACUAAGAUCAUGACCACAUAGUAUAUUAUCACUUUACCUGACUUGGUGCACUACAUUCACCCAUUACAUUGGGAAUGACAUAUUGUUAGUUAUUUAAUAAAAAUCUGUUUGAUAAAGGGUCCUGGAGUACUGUAUGUGCAAGGUUAACUCUGUAAAGGGGGAAAGGGGUGAAAUGUGAUAGGAGGCUGAGAUUAAUUUGAAAGACAGAAUUUUUGAUAGUGUUUGGUCCAUUUAUGUAUCUAUAUACAGUACAGUACAUGGUAAACAAAUAUGGAUGGGAUAGAUGUGUCAUGAAAAGUUAUGGUAACAUCUGACUCACAUAGUAGUGUAUGGGUUGACACCACUUGGGUAGGAAGGGUUAGUAGUCAAGAGGCGUGGUGCCCACCUCACAGCACACAACACUAGAAUGACUCAACUCUUGAAUACUAUUUUAAUCCUGGAAAAAUAUAUACAGUACACAAAUGUGAAUUGUGUGAAAACAAAUACUUCGCUGAAUAUAAACAUGCAAGUUUAACUUAUUAGUGCAAGAAUUAUAAACAUUUUGUAAGUUAGCAAGAGUAAAAACAAUAUGUAGUGCAUAAACCAUGUCAUCCAUGUAUGUAGGAUAUUGACAUGAGGAAUACAAGCAACAGAGUUAUAAUGGUGAUUCACCAGGCUAAACAAUAGUAUGCGAUAUAUAUACUGUAAAUCUUAUUAUUUGUCAACAGAAAAAAUCACCUCCAAGAAUUAGAUUUAUUCACACAAUUCAUGUAGACAUUGUGCAUUGUAUUUACUAUGCACACAGUCAUACAAAUAAUGAACAUCCAUACAUGCAUGUAAAGUAUGUAUACAUCUAUACUGUAUGUUUAUAGAUAUGCUGGAUAUUAGUGAAGUUUAAUCUUGGAACAUUUGAAUUGUAGUGUGUUAAGUAUUAUUUGUCAGAUGGAAGUUGAUGGUAAACUUUGGAAGUCAGGUUAUUUAUGUAGUAUUGAAAUGUAGUUAUUGGGUAAUGUGAAUUUGAUGAUAGGUAGGAUUUAACUCCAUGUGAUAACAGAAAAUAAGUGAAGGAAUACUGGCACAGCGACCCUCAGUAACCCCAUGUAGAAUCACUUCAGUGUUAUCUAUUGUUCAGUAUACUCAGUUUUUUGGAUACAUGCACAUCAUAAGGUGUAUCACAAGGUAAUCACGACAGUACUGUGUAGUAAUGACUGGCAUUUGGUCACCAGUUUGUGUCAUAGUGGUGGCUGCAGCUGCUGAAGUUUUGGGUUAUUGUGGGGCUGACUGUUCUUAAAUGAUGAGAAAAAUUAGUAGAAAAAGAUGGUAGAAGUUGAAAAGAAGGAUAGAAAUAAAAAGAGCGAGGCUCCCAGGUAAAGCAUCGGAGACGGUGAAAGGAGUAAACAGGGUUAUGACAAGACUAAGAAGGAUCAGAAAAUGGGGGGGCCUGUUUCAUUAUGUGUGUGUGUUGUGUGAAAGGUACUACAGAAAGCCACUAAUCACAGAGAUUAUUUCUAGGGUUUCUUCCUCCUUGACAUAAGGGUGCGGCAGCUAGAGUAAUCUCCGGCACUACCACGAGGAAAAACACCGGACAUGAAUGCCAGAACUUAUGCCCAUAUUAUGCAAGAAGCGCGACUUAAGGGAAGAAGCACUUGUAGUACCAAUUAUAGUU